ensembl:snoRNA U3 Small nucleolar RNA U3
AAGAGUCUGCUCUCACAGCUCCCAUCUCACCUACCUCAACUUCUGUCCUAUCAGGACCUACUUGUGAGCUCUCUCCUCUGAGCAUGAAGCUGGCUCUUAGUGUUGCUUCUGCAACUGCUAUUGCCAUUGAUGAUUGUUCUUCUCUCCCAUGGGAGAGUGAGAGGGGGAGAAAGCAGUCUGAGUGGU